CGUAGGGUGCGAGCGUUAAUCGGAAUUACUGGGCGUAAAGCGUGCGCAGGCGGUUUUGUAAGCCAGAUGUGAAAUCCCCGGGCUUAACCUGGGAAUGGCAUUUGGGACUGCAAGGCUGGAGUGUGGCAGAGGAGACUGGAAUUCCUGGUGUAGCAGUGAAAUGCGUAGAUAUCAGGAGGAAUACCGAUGGCGAAGGCAGGUCUCUGGGCUGACACUGACGCUCAUGCACGAAAGCGUGGGGAGCAAACAGGAUUAGGAUACCCUGGUAGUCCACGCCCUAAACGAUGUCGACUGGUUGUGGGGGUUUGACACUCUCAGUAACGAAGCUAACGCGUGAAGUCGACCGCCUGGGGAGUACGGCCGCAAGGUUA
rnacentral:rRNA from 1 species